rnacentral:rRNA from 1 species
ACGGAAGGCAGCAGUGGGGAAUAUUGCACAAUGGGCGAAAGCCUGAUGCAGCAACGCCGCGUGAGGGAAGACGGUCUUCGGAUUGUAAACCUUUGUCCUUGGUGACGAAACAGAUGACGGUAGCCGAGGAGGAAGCCACGGCUAACUACGUGCCAGCAGCCGCGGUAAUACGUAGGUGGCGAGCGUUAUCCGGAUUUACUGGGUGUAAAGGGCGCGUAGGCGGGGAUGCAAGUCAGAUGUGAAAUCUAUGGGCUUAACCCAUAAACUGCAUUUGAAACUGUAUCUCUUGAGUGCUGGAGAGGUAGAUGGAAUUCCUUGUGUAGCGGUGAAAUGCGUAGAUAUAAGGAAGAACACCAGUGGCGAAGGCGAUCUACUGGACAGUAACUGACGCUGAGGCGCGAAAGCGUGGGGAGCAAACAGGAUUAGAUACCCUGGUA